AGGGUGCUAGCUCAAUGGAAGAGUGCCUGCCUUACAAGAGGGAGGUUGGUGGUUCGAUUCCUCCAUGCCCUA
rnacentral:tRNA from 1 species